GCGUCCGUAGCUCAAUGGAUAGAGCUUUUGAUUACGGAUCAAAAGGUUGGGAGUUCGAGUCUCUCCGGGCGCGC
rnacentral:tRNA from 2 species